CUAUGUAGGGUGCAAGCGUUAAUCGGAAUUACUGGGCGUAAAGCGUGCGCAGGCGGUUUUGUAAGACAGUGGUGAAAUCCCCGGGCUCAACCUGGGAACUGCCAUUGUGACUGCAAGGCUGGAGUGCGGCAGAGGGGGAUGGAAUUCCGCGUGUAGCAGUGAAAUGCGUAGAUAUGCGGAGGAACACCGAUGGCGAAGGCAAUCCCCUUGGCCUGCACUGACGCUCAUGCACGAAAGCGUGGGGAGCAAACAGGAUUAGAUACCCUGGUAGUCCACGCCCUAAACGAUGUCAACUGGUUGUUGGGGAUUUAUUUUCUCAGUAACGUAGCUAACGCGUGAAGUUGACCGCCUGGGGAGUACGGCCGCAAGGUUAAAACUCAAAUGAAUUGGCGGGG
rnacentral:rRNA from 1 species